rnacentral:misc_RNA from 1 species
GAUGAAGAACGUAGCGAAAUGCGAUACGUAAUGUGAAUUGCAAAUUCAGUGAAUCAUCGAGUCUUUGAACGCACAUUGCGCCCCCUGGUAUUCCGGGGGGCAUGCCUGUCCGAGCGUCAUUGCUGCCCUCAAGCACGGCUUGUGUGUUGGGCCCCGUCCUCCGAUCCCGGGGGACGGGCCCGAAAGGCAGCGGCGGCACCGCGUCCGGUCCUCGAGCGUAUGGGGCUUUGUCACCCGCUCUGUAGGCCCGGCCGGCGCUUGCCAAUCAACCCAAAUUUUUUAUCCAGGUUGACCUCGGAUCAGGUAGGGAUACCCGCUGAACUUAAGCAUAUCAAUAAGCGGAGGA